GUCGAACGGCAGCACAGAGGAGCUUGCUCCUUGGGUGGCGAGUGGCGGACGGGUGAGGAAUACAUCGGAAUCUACUCUGUCGUGGGGGAUAACGUAGGGAAACUUACGCUAAUACCGCAUACGACCUACGGGUGAAAGCAGGGGAUCUUCGGACCUUGCGCGAUUGAAUGAGCCGAUGUCGGAUUAGCUAGUUGGCGGGGUAAAGGCCCACCAAGGCGACGAUCCGUAGCUGGUCUGAGAGGAUGAUCAGCCACACUGGAACUGAGACACGGUCCAGACUCCUACGGGAGGCAGCAGUGGGGAAUAUUGGACAAUGGGCGCAAGCCUGAUCCAGCCAUACCGCGUGGGUGAAGAAGGCCUUCGGGUUGUAAAGCCCUUUUGUUGGGAAAGAAAUCCAGCUGGCUAAUACCCGGUUGGGAUGACGGUACCCAAAGAAUAAGCACCGGCUAACUUCGUGCCAGCAGCCGCGGUAAUACGAAGGGUGCAAGCGUUACUCGGAAUUACUGGGCGUAAAGCGUGCGUAGGUGGUCGUUUAAGUCCGUUGUGAAAGCCCUGGGCUCAACCUGGGAACUGCAGUGGAUACUGGACGACUAGAGUGUGGUAGAGGGUAGCGGAAUUCCUGGUGUAGCAGUGAAAUGCGUAGAGAUCAGGAGGAACAUCCAUGGCGAAGGCAGCUACCUGGACCAACACUGACACUGAGGCACGAAAGCGUGGGGAGCA
rnacentral:rRNA from 1 species